rnacentral:rRNA from 1 species
CUACGGGUGGCUGCAGUGAGGAAUAUUGCACAAUGGGGGGAACCCUGAUGUAGCAACGCCGCGUGGAGGAUGACGCAUUUCGGUGUGUAAACUCCUUUUAUAUGUCAAGAAAAUGACGGUAGCAUAUGAAUAAGCACCGGCUAACUCCGUGCCAGCAGCCGCGGUAAUACAGAGGGUGCAAGCGUUACUCGGAAUCACUGGGCGUAAAGGACGCGUAGGCGGGUUGGAAAGUCAGGUGUGAAAUCCUACAGCUUAACUGUAGAACUGCACUUGAAACUUCUAAUCUAGAGUAUGGGAGGGGGAGAUGGAAUUAGUGGUGUAGGGGUAAAAUCCGUAGAUAUCACUAGGAAUACCUAAAGCGAAGGCGAUCUCCUGGAACAUUACUGACGCUAAGGCGUGAAAGCGUGGGGAGCAAACAGGAUUAGAUACCCUCGUAGUC